GCGGAUGGCUGGAUGACCGCGGGGUGCAAGCCUCGAGGAAAGUCCGGACUCCAUGAAGCAAGGGUGCCGGGUAACCCCCGGCGGGGGCAACCCCAGGGAAAGCGCCACAGAGAAGAGACUACCCCGCAUGCGGGGGAAAGGUGAAACGGUGGGGUAAGAGCCCACCGCGGACUUGGCGACAAGGACGGCACGGCAAGCCCCACCCGGAGCAAUGCCGAAUAGGGGCCUCGCGCGGAAAGGUCUGCUCAGGCAGAGACCUCCGCAGGGACGCUUCAGCCCAGAGGCCCGGGUUGGCAGCUUGACCGCCGUGGUAACACGAGCGGCAGAGGAAUGGUCAUCCAUGGGGGAAGGUCGCAAGAUCGGGCCCCGGGACAGAAUCCGGCUUACAGGCCAUCCGCGCAA
rnacentral:RNase_P_RNA from 1 species